rnacentral:rRNA from 1 species
UACGAAGGGGACUAGCGUUGUUCGGAAUCACUGGGCGUAAAGCGCACGUAGGCGGAUUCGUAAGUUAGGGGUGAAAUCCCGGGGCUCAACCUCGGAACUGCCUUUGAUACUGCGGGUCUCGAGUCCGAUAGAGGUGGGUGGAAUUCCUAGUGUAGAGGUGAAAUUCGUAGAUAUUAGGAAGAACACCGGUGGCGAAGGCGGCCCACUGGAUCGGCACUGACGCUGAGGUGCGAAAGCUAGGGGAGCAAACAGG